UACGGAGGAUCCAAGCGUUAUCCGGAAUCAUUGGGUUUAAAGGGUCCGUAGGCGGUUUAAUAAGUCAGUGGUGAAAGCCCAUCGCUCAACGGUGGAACGGCCAUUGAUACUGUUAAACUUGAAUUAUUAGGAAGUAACUAGAAUAUGUAGUGUAGCGGUGAAAUGCUUAGAGAUUACAUGGAAUACCAAUUGCAAAGGCAGGUUACUACUAAUGGAUUGACGCUGAUGGACGAAAGCGUGGGUAGCGAACAGG
rnacentral:rRNA from 1 species